rnacentral:rRNA from 1 species
UACGUAGGUGGCAAGCGUUGUCCGGAUUUACUGGGCGUAAAGAGCGCGCAGGCGGCUGGUCAAGUCCGAUGUGAAAUCUCCCGGCUUAACUGGGAAACUGCAUCGGAAACUGAUCGGCUUGAAGGUGGGAGAGGAGAGUGGAAUUCCCGGUGUAGUGGUGAAAUGCGUAGAUAUCGGGAGGAACACCAGUGGCGAAGGCGACUACCUGGCCUGUUCUUGACGCUGAGGCGCGAAAGCUAGGGGAGCAAACGGG